rnacentral:lncRNA from 1 species
GGGAGCCGAGAUUCCAAACUGUCCUACUUAUCGGAGUAAUCCUGAGGAAACAAAAGAACUAUAAAAACAAGUUAACGAACUCCUUGAGAAGGGCUAUGUGCGUGAAAGCCUUAGUCUCUAUUUAUUGCAAUUCAGUCCCCAAUCAUUCCAUUUAUUUUCCAGCCUAAUUAAAGCCUUCUAGAAGAGCUAUUGACGUUCUCCAUGCAUGGGAAGCUUCAAGGAACCUUCCUCCAAAAUUCUGGAAUUUUCAAGCUACUUACUUAGCCCUUAAGAUUGCCUAUUCAGUU